rnacentral:rRNA from 1 species
CUCUGUAGCGGAAAUUUGGCGAAAGGGGCAGUAAUACAUGGAUAACCUACCCUGGGGAUGGGCAUAGCCGGUCUAACGGCCGGGUAAUACCCAGAGAUUCGGCGAGGAGGCAUCUUUUUGCCGGGAAAUGAAUUUCGCUUCGGGAGGGGUCCAUGAGCUAUCAGCUAGUUGGUGGGGUAGCGGCCUACCAAGGCUAAGACGGCUAGCGGGUGUGAGAGCACGACCCGCGCCACUGGCACUGAGACACUGGCCAGACACCUACGGGUGGCUGCAGUCGAGGAUCUUCGUCAAUGGGCGAAAGCCUGAACGAGCGAUGCCGCGUGAGCGAUGAAGGCCUUCGGGUUGUAAGCUCAAAAGUGAAGAGAAAGGGAAACUUGAUCGAUUAACAGUAAGCUCGGGCUAAGUUCGUGCCAGCAGCCGCGGUAAGACGAACCGAGCGAACGUUGUUCGGAAUCACUGGGCUUAAAGGGGCGCGUAAGCGGGGCAUUCAAGUCUGUGGUGAAAUCCUCCAGCUCAACUGGAGAACUGCCAUGGAUACUGGGUGUCUCGAGGGUGGUAGGGGUAUGCGGAACUAUCGGUGGAGCGGUGAAAUGCGUUGAUAUCGAUAGGAACUCCGGUGGCGAAGGCGGCAUACUGGACCACAUCUGACGCUGAGGCGCGAAAGCCAGGGGAGCGAACGGGAUUAGAUACCCCGGUAGUCCUGGCCCUAAACGAUGGGUACUAGCUAGUAGGGUUCACAUGACUUUACUGGCGAAGCAAAAGUGAUAAGUACCCCGCCUGGGGAGUAUGGUCGCAAGGCUGAAACUCCAAGGAAUUGACGGGGGCUCACACAAGCGGUGGAGCAUGUGGGCUUAAUUCGAGGCUACGCGAAGAACCUUAUCCUAGGCUUGACAUGUGCGAUAGCGUUGAGCGGUAACUACCCGGAAACCGGAUCGUGAUUCCUCGCAAGAGGAGGACUCAAUUACAAGGUGCUGCAUGGGCUGUCGUCAGCUCGUGUC